CACAUUGUUACAGAAAGACGAGUGUAAGGCUGUUCCAAUUCUCAGCACAGCUCCUCUCUUUUCCUGAGUCCUUAGCAGUUGUCCUCCCCCGAUGUCAUUUUCAUCGAGGCCAAGGAAAAGAGUUUAGGAAAAGGAGAUUGGCGCUACUUUUGAAAUAACACUCCACGGGGUUACGUUGUGCAGCAGAGUCACGUGACCGCACAGCAACAAAUCACAGCGGAGCCGGGUAAAAGGGGGCGGAGCAAAGUGUGUGUGUGCAGGAGAGGAGUCGAGCAGAGAGAGCUGCUUUUUCAUGAAACGGGAGUAAAGUAGUGAACUUACAGGAACAUAUACCACUACCAACGUUGGGAUCGAUAUCUGCAUCGAUCCGCACAUAAUUGUCUCGUGAAUCCUAGCUGAGAUCAGCGUGAACCACGUGGGUCUCUGCUCCCUGAUCUGUUUCUUAAGACGUCCAGCUUCAUCACGGAGUUUCUCUCGGUUUGUGGGCUCGUCUAAAGCUGAGUAACAGGAGAAGAGUCUGGUGGAGCAACAGAGGAACAAUUUCAGCCAUUUGGACUCAGCUCAGCCACUACAGAGGAAACAAUGACUUCAACACAAAAGGACCAACACGGAGCGAGAAGUCAGCGCUCUCAGGAGGCCGACAAACCUCACAGAAGAAAG